UAAGGAAUAUUGGUCAAUGGACGCAAGUCUGAACCAGCCAUGCCGCGUGAAGGAUGAAGGUCCUCUGGAUUGUAAGCUUCUUUUAUCUGGGACGAAAACGGGAUUUUUAUCUCAAUUGACGGUACCAGAGGAAUAAGCACCGGCUAACUCCGUGCCAGCAGCCGCGGUAAUACGGAGGGUGCGAGCGUUAUCCGGAUUUACUGGGUUUAAAGGGUGCGUAGGUGGGCUUAUAAGUCAGUGGUGAAAUCUCCGAGCUUAACUUGGAAACUGCCGUUGAUACUAUAGGUCUUGAAUUAUCUGGAGGUAAGCGGAAUAUGUCAUGUAGCGGUGAAAUGCUUAGAUAUGACAUAGAACACCAAUUGCGAAGGCAGCUUACUACAUAUAAAUUGACGCUGAGGCACGAAAGCGUGGGGAUCAAACA
rnacentral:rRNA from 1 species